UUAUCCAUCAAUUAAUUAUUUAAAAUUCGUUUAAUAAAUGGUGUUUGUGAGGUCAGUUUGAUAACUAAAGGGAAAACCUAGAUCCGACCCGGAACAGGUUAUCCGAAUUGCCGACCCUGAAGAAAUUGAAAGAGACAAACAAAACCAAAAUCGUAAAAUCUUAAGGUGAGUCUGAGAUGAGUUGAUGGCAUUGUCUCCUUAGGGAUUUGAAGUAUUCAAAGUUGUUUCUUUUUUUCCUGGAAUUUUCGUUCCUUUUCCGCGAUCCCUAUCAUCACCAACAGCGGAAAUAAAAUCUGAAAAUGGAGGACAUGGACAUUGAUUCAUUAGUGGACAUACCCGACACUCCUGAUAGGUUAUCUUCACGGAGAAUGCAUGGAGUUCAUCGUGUUGGCAAUUUAUAUGUAGCUGAUCAUGUGGGAGGUUCUAAUAGUGCAUCUUUGGAUAGGCUAAGGGGCAGAGAUAGAGUGGCUGCUGAAAAUGGGCAGAACAGAAAACGUUAUAGACACCCUCAAAAACUUUCCGGUGGGUUUGAUGAAACUGAACAUCGAAAAAACACAAUUGUUUUAUCCCCAAUGGAGAAAGCUCGAGAAAAUGCUCCUCUAUCCCGAAAAACAACAAUGGAGAGAAGCAGGAAUUCCAUUAGAGAGCAAUACAUGGAUAUAGGAAAAGCUCCUUUCUCUAAGUUGCCAUCUAAAUCAUCUGGAUCUGGAAAAGAUCAUGCUAUGGUAAAUUUAACUGGGCGGAAUAUGCAUAAACCUGAAAUGGAAUUUCCGCAAGGUGGAUCAGAAAAUUGCUCAGCAGGAGGAAAAAAUGAAGGCAACAUACCAAGAAAUGGUGGUUCUUACAUAUAUAAUUCUUCAAGCAAUUCUGCAACAUCCAGAAAUAACUUCAAGGGAAAAGAAAAAAUAAAUGACAUUGGAUUUGAAGGUGUUGGUUCAGUUACUGAUCAUGCAAAAGGGGUGGAUCUCUCUUGUGGUUCCCCUCUUAGAUUGGACAAGCAAUUGCCUGCAUACCAAAAUGUUGUCUCACCAAGAGCAACUGCAAAAAGAAGAUUGGUUCGAAAUGGCUGCAUCUCUCCCCAGAAUAUAGCUAUCAGGGCUAAACAAUUCAAUGAACAAUCCCAAAACAGCUUUAAAUCUGAACAAAAUUUUGGGAAUGCGGCUAGCAAUAAUCCUUGUAUGGACAUUAGUGAGAUAAUUGCUGGAGAUAAUAAUUAUGGGAAAGGAAAAGGUGUUGCCCAUCCUCGUGUAUCUAUGGAUCAGGAUAUUAAUUGUAUUAGUUUAUCUGGCAGUGCUGUGAACAAUGGAGAAGCUAUUGGUACUAAUGGUGAUUCGAUUAGAGAUGAAUGCUUUGAGGAAAAAGGUGGUUGGAGAAGCGCACACAACCGUUCAAAGAAUGCAGAGCAUGCAGCUUCACAUUGUUUCAGCAGAUUUAAAAAUGUUGGAUGCCACGUGAGUCAACAAAAUGAAAAUAAAGUUGUAAAAAGAAACGAUGCUAGUAGAGGAAGCAACAAGAUUCCAUCUGGUUGUCUGGAAAAUUGUGAUGCAACUGAAACAGCUCCUGUGAUCUUCUCUAAAUUCAACCAAAAAAGUGAACCUUCUCAUGCAGAAAAUCUGCUGUCUAAAAGGCAAACGAAACAUGUAUUAUCCUCAGGAAAUAGUGGUGAAAGCUCUAGGGUCAUUCCUAAUGACACAGACAUUGUGUUUCGCGGCUCAUCUUGUGGAUCAUCUAGUUUAGGGUCAUCUAGAAUCAAUACUGGGCGCCAUCUGAAUGUUUCUGAUCUUGAUGAGUUAUCUGAAAUGAGAGGGACAAAUGUGGAUGCCAAUCAUGGAGACUGUGUGAAUGACGAGGAAUCAGAGGCUAGGGCAAGACAAGUUGAAGCAGAUGAAAUAUUGGCCCGUGAACUCCAAGAACAAUUAUAUCAUGAGGUCUCAAUAUAUGGCAACAAUGAGAUUGAUGAAAACAUUGCGAGGGCUCUUCAGCAGGAGGAAGAUACAUUCCCAAGUCCUUCUAAUCGUAGCAUCCAUGAGACUCAGCAGAGAGGCCCAACACGGCAAUCCCGUACUCAGUCUUCAGUGCGGACUUCUCAGAAUUCUUCAAAUAGGAGAGGAAGAGGGUCAACAAGGCAGUCGCAUACUCGGUCACCAUUGCGGACUUCUCAGAAUUCUUCAAAUAGGAGAGGAGUACGGGCUCGUUUUCCUAGUUCUGCUAGAGUGCCGCGGUUGAGGAAUCGGGUUUUGAGUCAAAGUCGAGCAGUAUCAUCUAGGGCAAGGAAUUUUCACUUUCCUUUGGACAUGGAUUUGGAUAUGCGACUUGAUAUAUUGGAAGCCAUGGAGGCUGCUAUUGGAGAUGAUGAUGACAUUGCUGGUCACAUCUUCCGAGUUCACAAUGAUUUUAACAAUGGAGAUUAUGAAAGGUUUCUGACCCUUGAUGAUAAUAAUCAUCAACAUACUGGUGCAUCUCUUCACCGAAUUAACAGUUUACCACUCUCCAAAGUGCAGACUGAUAACUUUGAGGAAGUUUGUGCGAUAUGCCUUGAAACCCCCGCAAAUGGAGAAACCAUUCGCCAUCUUCCUUGUCUACAUAAAUUUCACAAGGAUUGUAUCGAUCCAUGGCUGAGUCGGAAAACUUCAUGCCCGGUUUGCAAGUCAUCUAUAAAUUGAAUGUGAGCAUACCAGCAGAUCAGUUGUUUUGUAUGACAAUAAAAAAAAUCUUAAGCAAAUAUAUAUCUGUGAUAGAUUUGAGUGAUACAAUGGUUAAGCAACAGAGAAUGAAGUGAGCAGCAGACAGGCUUUGAAAUCUGCAGUGUAAAGUUGUAGGGCCAUGGCAUUGGCAUGCAACUCGUUGUUUUUGUUGAAACGUUUUUAAAUUUUAUUUAGUUGGAAAAUGAUGAACUCCCCAUCGAAAACAUUUUUCACCUGUCAAAGCCCUUAUAAAUGCUUCAUUUAGAGGUCUCUUCACUGAGAUUUGCACUAGAAUCGUUCAUGUUACUCCCUUGCCUCCAAUUUCCGAAAGAAUAUAUUUAUGGAAAUACGUGUGUUGAGGAAUCGGUUAGUUUUACGUGUUAAAACUUGUUGAGGGGUUCAAAUCCUCAACAGGUUGAGUAUUGUAUUCUCGGGGUGUUGAUUUUUCAUUAGUCUCGAGGAGGGCAUAGAGACAGCCUUUGUUGGUUGGUGAUUCAUACAAAUGAUGUUGAGAGCUUAAGGGUUUACAUAACUAUUUAUGAGUAAAUAUGGUAUUUUAUUUGAAUUAACGAGAAGGUCCUUUUAUGUAUUUAAAAGUUGAAAUAUUUGUAUAUUAAAUAAAUAAGUUAUUCGAUGUUGGAUAUGAA